rnacentral:rRNA from 1 species
AUUGAACGCUGGCGGCAUGCCUUACACAUGCAAGUCGAACGGUAACAGGUCUUCGGAUGCUGACGAGUGGCGAACGGGUGAGUACUACAUCGGAACGUGCCUAGUAGUGGGGGAUAACUACUCGAAAGAGUGGCUAAUAACGCAUGAUAUCUACGGAUGAAAGCAGGGGAUCGCAAGACCUUGUGCUACUAGAGCGGCCGAUGGCAGAUUAGGUAGUUGGUGGGAUAAAAGCUUACCAAGCCGACGAUCUGUAGCUGGUCUGAGAGGACGAUCAGCCACACUGGGACUGAGACACGGCCCAGACUCCUACGGGAGGCAGCAGUGGGGAAUUUUGGACAAUGGGCGAAAGCCUGAUCCAGCAAUGCCGCGUGCAGGAUGAAGGCCUUCGGGUUGUAAACUGCUUUUGUACGGAACGAAAAGCCCCGGGUUAAUACCCUGGGGUCAUGACGGUACCGUAAGAAUAAGCACCGGCUAACUACGUGCCAGCAGCCGCCGUAA